GCGGUUGACAUCAAGUAUGCCACGUAAGGGAUUUGAAAGCGACAUUUUCUGAAAAUAAAGAUGCAGCAGAAAUGAAUAACAUGUAGAUUUUGCAAGAAAUAAACUAUCAAGAUAUGGACUUCUAUCUUAAUAUGCUCCCACUAUUUUACUAACGAGUCAUGCGACACCCUCAGCACGUGAAACGGAAGUCUCCGGCAGACUUCUAGUGGGGAUCAGAAUCCAAUCAGCGUCUUAGUGUAACCUCGAGGGACUCGACCAAUCACACUAAGCCUAAAAGGUAGGCAACUCUUGCCGAUCACAAAUCCUUGUGAUUCCCGUCCUGUUCGGCCUCUGAAUCACCAUGGCCUCGAGGGACUCGACCAACCAUGAUGCUCGGUUAAGUCAACACCUUCGUUACAAGAUGAGUCUGACUUGAUGAUAUACCCUCGAGGGACUCGACCAAGCAUACCAUGCCCUCAGGUCACCGGUGACAUCUCUAUGUCGUAAGCAAGAUAGCGAAUCGCGAUAUAGGUGAGUCUCGAGGGACUCGACCAACUCAACCUACACCGGGAUUCGGUUCCUACU
rnacentral:lncRNA from 1 species